UACGUAGGGCGCAAGCGUUUGUCCGGAAUUAUUGGGCGUAAAGCGCGCGUAGGUGGCCCUGUAAGUCCGUUGUGAAAGUCAAAGGCUCAACCUUUGAAAGCCGAUGGAUACUGCAGGACUAGAGUACGGAAGAGGCGAGUGGAAUUCCUGGUGUAGCGGUGGAAUGCGCAGAUAUCAGGAGGAACACCAAUAGCGAAGGCAGCUCGCUGGGACGUUACUGACACUGAGGCGCGAAAGCGUGGGGAGCGAACAGG
rnacentral:rRNA from 1 species